GGACUAUGGCUCAGUGGUACAGCACUUGCCUAGCAUGUGCGAGGCCCUGGGUUCGAUCCUCAGCACCA
rnacentral:tRNA from 1 species